AUCUUUUGAGUAUGAUCAGUACAUUUGCCUUCCAAGCAAAAAGUUUAAAUAAUUUUUAAAAAAGAUA
rnacentral:tRNA from 1 species